rnacentral:rRNA from 1 species
AGAGUUUGAUCCUGGCUCAGGACGAACGCUGGCGGCGUGCCUAACACAUGCAAGUCGAGCGAGAAUUCACUUUUGGAUUCCUUCAGGAUGACGAAGGUGAAGGAAAGCGGCGGACGGGUGAGUAACGCGUGAGUAACCUGCCUAUCAGAGGGGGACAACAGCUGGAAACGGCUGCUAAUACCGCAUAACAUUACGAAAUCGCAUGGUUUUGUAAUCAAAGAUUUAUCGCUGAUAGAUGGACUCGCGUCUGAUUAGAUAGUUGGUGGGGUAACGGCUCACCAAGUCGACGAUCAGUAGCCGAACUGAGAGGUUGAUCGGCCACAUUGGGACUGAGACACGGCCCAGACUCCUACGGGAGGCAGCAGUGGGGGAUAUUGCGCAAUGGGGGCAACCCUGACGCAGCAACGCCGCGUGAAGGAAGACGGCCUUCGGGUUGUAAACUUCUUUAAGUGUGGAAGAAAUUGACGGUACACACAGAAUAAGCCACGGCUAACUACGUGCCAGCAGCCGCGGUAAUACGUAGGUGGCGAGCGUUGUCCGGAUUUACUGGGUGUAAAGGGCGUGUAGGCGGGAUUACAAGUCAGAUGUGAAAUACCGGGGCUCAACUCCGGGGCUGCAUUUGAAACUGUAGUUCUUGAGUGUCGGAGAGGAAAGCGGAAUUCCUAGUGUAGCGGUGAAAUGCGUAGAUAUUAGGAGGAACACCAGUGGCGAAGGCGGCUUUCUGGACGAUAACUGACGCUGAGGCGCGAAAGUGUGGGGAGCAAACAGGAUUAGAUACCCUGGUAGUCCACACCGUAAACG